rnacentral:lncRNA from 1 species
UAUUGGACCUUGAUUUGUAUUUACAAUGAAGAAUUUCUUCUGAAUUUCUAAUGAAGCUUCGAGUGCUAUUCACUUUUGUAGGAUGCAUCUCCAACAGCCUGCUAUCAAUGUAAACACUAAGAAUGUUAUGCCAUGUGCGGCAGUUCAGUUUCCUUAAAAGAGGCAAAAUGGGUCAAGCGUUCCCAUAGACAAUUUUCGUAAAAUGCGCAGUUUCACAGUUUUUCCGUCCGAAUUUCCGUGCAAAUUCCUAUACUUUUGACAUAGAUUUCAAUUAUUUUUCGUAAUGCUUGCUCGUUACUGUAUGUGUGUGUUCCCUCUCCAUUCAACCACUCUCACAUAAACAAUUUAGAUUUUGUUAUGGAGUUUCUAACGAAGCCUCGAGAACUAUGCAAUUUACUUGUAUCUCUUGCAGCCAUCUGUCAAUAAAACACUAAAAAUGUUUUGCCAUGUGCGGCUCUUCAGUUUUCUUAAAAAUGGAAUAAUGGGUCAAGCACUCACUUUGAAAAUUUUGCUCAGUUUCAAAGUUUCUCCGUCCAGUACAUCACGUUGUUCUCUUUUUCCAAAAGUGUAGUACUUUAUAUCAUAAAUCGGGAAAAUUUGAGUGAAAAUCGUAGACUGAGCAAAGUUUAAAAUAUAUAUUUUGAUUUAAUCGAGGAUAACCAAUUUGUCGAAAGGUGCAUGGCAGGCUACCACCAUAAUCCUUGAAUUUCGCGAGCACCUUAUCAUUCUGAAAAUAUUGACGGUGCUUUCUUAAAUAUCCAUUUAGUGUCCGUACUUUUAUGAGUUUCAGACUUGUGGUAAAAACCAGCUACUUCACUUUGAGUCGUUUGUUUGAAUAUCCUCCAUCCGCUCAUGAUGACCGAAUGUGUGUUGACUCUCGCAUCGAUCAGAUUUUUUACAAGCUCCGGGGAAGAUUUCAAUAUGGGCUCCUCGAGAGAGCAGGGUAUCUUAUAAUCAAAGUAAAUGUACGCCAUUAAAUAAGCAGGUUUGGCAACACCACCCUGAAGCGGCAUCAAUUCCGGCAUGGCACGGGGCCCUAAAAUUAAAAAAUCGCCGACAUAAAUUUUGUCACUUUGUGAGAUUCCUAGCCUAAUGCCGCCACACCGCAGGGACCUGAUCAACUGGUACUCACGACUUGUAAUGGAGUGGGAAUGUCACUCGGCUUGUAAUUUACUCACAAUAAUUUGAUCACGACGCGACGCGACGUCAGGAAGAUAUUAUGCUAGUUAGCCCGAGAAAUAAGUUGGUCGCAAGGUCAUCGUACCUAGACUGCGAGCAAUACUAAUACCAUAGAUAUGACAAUCGGAAAACUAUCGGUAGGGAUGUAUCUAUAUUUCUUUUUUUCCAUUUCUUUUCACUGAAAACAAGUCUUUUGGGUAUAGAGUCCAGACUCUGAAAAAUUUGACAAGAAAAAGUACUUCUGAUCCAAUCGGAUUUUUGCUUGAAUCGAGAGGAGAGACUCUUAAUUAAAGUGGAUUUCCUUUUGAUUCGAGCAAAAAUCCGAUUAAAUCAAGAGUAUUUUUUCUUAUCAAAUUUGUAAAGAGUCUGGACUUUAGACCCAAGAGACUUUUUUCCUGUCUUCUCCUCGAAAGAGAAAGAUUACCGAAAAUAAAUAGAAAUAGGAAGGAUUGUUUAAGGGUGAAAGUAAUUCUUCUAUUAAGACCUUAUUUUACGGUAGGCUACAUAACGUUGAUUUUUUCAAAAUUUUGUGCUGUAGACGUUCAUUUGGUUUUCCUCAACAAUCUUGGAAUUUUUUAUAAACCGUCAUAAAGUGCCGGGCACACAAGUUUCUACUAUGAAUAUGAGAGCAUUGCAGAAAUGUAACGGAAAUGGAAGGAUUUAGGUGAAAAGAUAUAAUAUACGCAUUAUAAUUCGUACUUUUCACCGAUACGCUAACUUUUUAUCAAAAAUCGAUGAAAGUGUCCGGAAAAAGUGGUAUAGAAAUCAAUUAAAAAAAAAAAAUCUAGCGUAUGCUCAUCAGGACAAAACUUAAUACCCUCUAAUUCAUUGAAAAAAUAAGUGCAAAAACUUUCCAAGCUUCUUAUUCCAAAGUAAAGGUGGAUUUCCCUCCUUAUUUUACCCUUGUAGUUUCGUAUCGUGAGGAAAGCUUCGUUUCUUAUACCAGCCUCAGUGCAUGACGCUCUUUUUUCACGCCGGUGUUUACUUUCUUUUAUCUCGUAAACUUUGUAACUUUCCCGAUUACUUCAUUUCUGAACUCAAACCAUCCGCCUUUUGUGAUACUGAAAACUUCUGGAACAAACUCAAUUAAAAUUCUUCGUCACUUUAAUGCUGGUGCACUCAUUUUCUCGUUAAAGCUGUAUUUGAACAGCACUCACAAAGAAGUACAAGUAAUUGGGCAAUACUCCGAUCUGGUUUGGUUUGAUUUUGACGAUCAUCC